GUUUGUCAUAAAAUGACUCUGCCUAUCUAUGUGAUACUCCCCCGUCUUCUGACAUGUCCAACUGUUUUUGCUGGUCCAUUUUCGAUCGAGUUCAAAAUUUGCUUAGUUAUCACCUUUCAGUCUGAGCUCGCCAAAUUACAUACAAAGUCUGAUCCUACAACUCCAAGACUUUGGCUGGCCAUGGAGACUCUACCACUUGAACUUGUCCGAGCAAAGUGAGACGAUCUGUGCUAAGCAAGGUCAAAGCUAUCUAUUCAUAAAACUUAUUAAAACUACCAUCCUAAACAGGCAUAAGGGCACAAUGCAAAUCCAUUUCUGUUGUGCAUUGUUCUGGAAAUUCGUUUCCAGA